UGGGGAAUAUUGGGGCAAUGGGCGAAAGCCUGACCCAGCGACGCCGCGUGAGGGAAGAAGGUCUUCGGAUUGUAAACCUUUGUAGACAGGGACGAAGAAAUGACGGUACCUGUAAAGUAAGCCACGGCUAACUACGUGCCAGCAGCCGCGGUAAUACGUAGGUGGCAAGCGUUAUCCGGAUUUACUGGGUGUAAAGGGCGCGUAGGCGGGGAUACAAGUCAGAUGUGAAAUCUAUGGGCUUAACCCAUAAACUGCAUUUGAAACUGUAUCUCUUGAGUGUCGGAGAGGUAGACGGAAUUCCUAGUGUAGCGGUGAAAUGCGUAGAUAUUAGGAGGAACACCAGUGGCGAAGGCGGUCUACUGGACGAUAACUGACGCUGAGGCGCGAAAGCGUGGGGAGCAAACAGGAUUAGAUACCCUGGUAGU
rnacentral:rRNA from 1 species